GUAGGGAAUAUUGCACAAUGGGCGCAAGCCUGAUGCAGCAACGCCGCGUGCACGAUGAAGGCCUUCGGGUCGUAAAGUGCUUUUUGAGGAGACGAGGAAGGACGGUAUCCUCAGAAUAAGGAUCGGCUAACUACGUGCCAGCAGCCGCGGUAAAACGUAGGAUCCGAGCGUUAUCCGAAUUCACUGGGCGUAAAGCGCAUGCAGGCGGUUUGAUAAGUUGGAUGUAAAAACUUCUGGCUCAACUGGGAGAGGACGUCGAAUACUGUCAGACUAGAGGACGGCAGAGGAAGGUGGAAUUCCCGGUGUAGUGGUGAAAUGCGUAGAUAUCGGGAGGAACACCAGAGGCGAAGGCGGCCUUCUGGGCCGUACCUGACGCUAAGAUGCGAAAGCUAGGGGAGCGAACGGGAUUAGAAACCCCAGUAGUCC
rnacentral:rRNA from 1 species